rnacentral:rRNA from 1 species
AUUGAACGCUGGCGGCAUGCCUUACACAUGCAAGUCGAACGGCAGCACGGGAGCAAUCCUGGUGGCGAGUGGCGAACGGGUGAGUAAUAUAUCGGAACGUGCCCAGUCGUGGGGGAUAACGCAGCGAAAGCUGUGCUAAUACCGCAUACGAUCUAUGGAUGAAAGCGGGGAUCGCAAGACCUCGCGCGAUUGGAGCGGCCGAUAUCAGAUUAGGUAGUUGGUGAGGUAAAGGCUCACCAAGCCGACGAUCUGUAGCUGGUCUGAGAGGACGACCAGCCACACUGGAACUGAGACACGGUCCAG